GGUUGAUUCUCGGGUUAUGCAGUCCCGAAUUGGGCUCCCUAUUCUCUGGUUCCAGAGUGCGUGACCCAAGAACCGCU
rfam:Myotis davidii contig54340, whole genome shotgun sequence.